CCAGCCUUUGGCAGGAGCAUAAGCUAAGGCGGACUCUGAGUCAGUGCGCUCAGCUGGGCAGGUUUCCAUGACUGAUGUCUACCCCCCGGGCCACUGCCAACCCCGGGGGUCAUUUUCCAUCACGAGAAAUCCAGCGUGGGCUGUCUGUUGGUCUCAGGGGCCUAAACUGUGUGUGUCUGGAAGAUAUGGGCCGUCCUUCCUAUGAUGACCUGUGGUCCCUCAGGAAAACGCCCACUUCUACGUUGCGGAUAUGAUUAUAGCGGCAAUGGAGAAGAUCAAGUACGCCAUCCUGAGUCAGCAGCACCCAGACCCCUGGGGUGAGGAAGAGGCCAGGGGGGCACCCGGCAGUGGUCACGCUGAUGCUGAGACGACCUUCUAUAGCAACAUGAAGCAAGGAUCUGGGUCUUCCAACUCUUCUGACAGCGGCUAUGAAGGUUGUGCUAUGUUACAGGGCAGCCCGGUGGCUGGGACACCCACUUACGGUGACGUUCUCAAAGAAGCCUGUAAAUGUGACUUUGAUGACUUUGUUGUCGUAGAACUUGGUGAGUUUAGCAAUAUCACAGAAACCUGUGGAUGCUCCUGCAGCUCUUCCAAGAGUAUCGUUUAUGAGCCAGACUUCAAUUCCGCUGAGCUAAUAGCCAAAGAGUUGUACCGAGUAUUCCAGAAGUGCUGGAUGUGGUCAGAAGUUCAUCAUCAGCUGGAAGGUUCUCCCAAUGCCGCUGGCUCCAUAGUUGUAAAUGAAGAACGUGUCCGGAAAGACUUUGAAUCCAGUGUGGAUGUGGUUCAGGAAAUUAAACUUCAGUCGAAGAUCAGAGAGGCUGAAGACUGGGAGCCCCCCCGAUUUCAAAUCAUAUUUGAUGUUCAUCCACCACUCAAGAGGGAUCUCGUGGUAGCAGCCCAGAACUUUCUGUGUGCUGGCUGUGGCACGCCGAUAGAACCCAAGUUCGUGAGGCGCCUGCGGUACUGCGACUACCUGGGCAAGUAUUUCUGUGACUGCUGCCACACCUACGCAGACUCCUGCAUCCCGGCCCGGAUCCUGAGCACGUGGGACUUCAGGAGGUACUACGUCAGCAACUUCUCCAAGCGCCUGCUGGACAGCGUGUGGCACCAGCCCAUUUUCAAUUUGCUGAGCGCAGGCCACAGCCUGUACGCCAAGGCCAAGGAGCUGGACCGAGCCAGGGAAAUCCAGGAGCAACUUUUUCAGAUCAAGAAGCUGUUGAAGACCUGCAGGUUUGCUGAAAGCGCAGUAAAGGCAUUUGAGCAGGUGCCGAGGCACUUGACCGACGAUCUCCACCUGUUCUCUCUGGAGGACCUGGUCAGGGUCAAGAAGAGGCUGCUGGUGCCCUUGCUCAAGGACAUUCUCAAAGCUUCCCUUGCACAUGUGGCCAGCUGUGAGCUGUGUCAAGGAAAGGGCUUCAUCUGCGAAUUUUGCCAGAGUACAGCCGUCAUCUUCCCAUUUCAGACCGAAACGUGUAGACGAUGUGCAGGGUGCAGAGCUUGCUUUCACAAGCAGUGCUUCCAGUCCUCCGAGUGCCCCCGGUGUGCCAGGAUCACAGCCAGGAGAAGACUUCUGGAAAGUUUACCCUCUGCAGCAACAUGAGCCCCUGACCACGGUGGAAAAGACUGUUCAACAUGCCUUAUAACACCGAUUUGUGUCGAUUAUUGACAAUCGUGUUUCAG
rnacentral:lncRNA from 1 species